UCUAGCGUGGGCGACAGAGCAAGACUGUCUCUCAAAAUAAAUAAAUAAAUAAAAAUAUAUAAAACCCAAAUGCAGCCAACACCGUGGCUCAUGCCUGUAAUCCCAGCAUGAUGGGAGGCCAAGGAAGGCAGAUCACUUAAGUCCAGGAGUUUGAGACCAGCCUGGGCAACAUAGCGAGACCCCAUCUCUACAAAAACACAAAACCUAGCCAGGCGUGGUGGCGCGCAUCUGUAGUCCCAACUACUCAGGAGACUGAGGUGGGAAGAUCCCUUGAACCCAAGAGUUCAAGGCUACAGUGAUCCAAGAUCUAACCACUGUCCUCUAGCCUGAGCGACAGAGAGAGAGCCUGUCUCAAAACAAACAACUCCGGCCGGGUGCAGUGGCUCAUGCCUGUAAUC
rnacentral:lncRNA from 1 species